rnacentral:lncRNA from 1 species
UCAAAAAUUAAAAAUAGGCUAGUGUUAUAGCAAAUCGGGCAAAUAUCAGAAUUUGGCAAAGGAUUUCUCAGUGUUGUGAAGGUAUGAAGUAAUAAAAUUGAUAUUGUACUUGGAUUCCAAUGCAAAAGUUUAUGAUCGUUGCAAGAGCUUGAAGCUGGUAAUUAAUAACUUCAACUUUGUCAACCACCCAAGAGCUUGAAGCUGGUAACUAACAACUUCUGCUUAGAAUGCUCUUAGUCGACCAUCCAAGAGCCAGAGAACCUACUAUGAUGAUAAUGAAAUUUGGAUGCCUCCCAUGGUUCGGUGGCAACCUUUGUAAAGGAGAAGCUCACACCGGCCGGAGUUGUUGUUGUAGCUAUCUCCUGUUGUUGGUAGGGAUGUCAACUUGUGUGAUGAAGUGCAAUUUGGACAACGAGGGAGAUUGGAUAAAAUUGAUACUCUGGGGACACGUCUGGUUCUGAUCAUCCUGCUAGCCAAUGGGAGGGUUCCAUUGGACUCAUUGUUCAAGAACAUAAAAAGAUCUUCAGCAAUCACAGCAUGGAAUAUUCAUCCAUAAGCCAGAGGUUAGAAGAAGAAGAACCAUCGCAGAGUGCCCUCUUGUAACUUAUAACAAGGCAACUGAGCUGCUUUUUUUGCAUAACUGGAAGAUUCAAAACACUAACCAAAUAAAAAUUAUGACAAAAAAACUAAAAGAGAGAAUAAAACGUGUUGCUUGUAAUGCAUGAGGUGCUUGUAAUGGGAUGCAACAUGAGGCCUAGCAUGAGCAAAACUUAAGACCCCCUCAAGCUUCAUAAAUUUGACCCCACCAGGCACAUCGGAGAAGGUGGCGGAGGGCAUAAAGAAGGCGGAGGAGGCAUGUGAAGGCGACGCAGAGAGUGGGGAGUGCGCAGCGGCAUGGGAUGAGGUGGAGGAGCUCAGUGCAGCCGCGAGCCAUGCACGCCACAAGCUCAAGGGCUCCUCCGACCCCUUCGAGAAUUACUGCGAGGAUAACCUCGAGACCGACGAGUUCCGCAUCUAUGAGGACUGAUCAAGGACCCACUAGGAAGAGGAAAUAAUCGUCCGUUAGUAGUAGUGAUAAGUAAUAAUCUCAAGGAGAAGAAAGUGGCGUUUGUGCAUGCCUUGUUUGAUGGCAGGGUGCAUGUAAUCUUUAGCAGGUGGCUUUUCUUGGAGGGC